GAUGAACGCUGGCGGCGUGUCUAAUACAUGCAAGUCGAGCGAACAGAUAAGGAGCUUGCUCCUUUGACGUUAGCGGCGGACGGGUGAGUAACACGUGGGUAACCUACCUAUAAGACUGGAAUAACUCCGGGAAACCGGGGCUAAUGCCGGAUAACAUUUAGAACCGCAUGGUUCUAAAGUGAAAGAUGGUUUUGCUAUCACUUAUAGAUGGACCCGCGCCGUAUUAGCUAGUUGGUAAGGUAACGGCUUACCAAGGCAACGAUACGUAGCCGACCUGAGAGGGUGAUCGGCCACACUGGAACUGAGACACGGUCCAGACUCCUACGGGAGGCAGCAGUAGGGAAUCUUCCGCAAUGGGCGAAAGCCUGACGGAGCAACGCCGCGUGAGUGAUGAAGGUCUUCGGAUCGUAAAACUCUGUUAUUAGGGAAGAACAAAUGUGUAAGUAACUGUGCACGUCUUGACGGUACCCAAUCAGAAAGCCACGGCUAACUACGUG
rnacentral:rRNA from 1 species